UUUACCACGACACAUCAUGCUUCUCAAUAUCCUCCUACUCUCAAUUAUACAAGUUCUCGAAUUGACACAUAUCGAUCAACUGGUUGCACUGUGCUAGGGAACCAGAAGGGAAUUAUGUAAAUUAAAAAGCGAUUGCUUAAGGAGUGAGUUACAUGACCAUGGAAUGGUGUCGAAAUACACGAGGAAACUUCCAUAGGAGCAGGAUCUUGUCCGGUUAUGGAGGCAACAUCAUGGGGACAUCAUCAAUUUAAGAAGAGUGUCUCCACGCCUCAAACGUAUACAUUGGUUACUGUUCUUCGUCGAUUCACUGGUCGAAGCAGAACUCUGAUGAGGGAGAUAUUCUUAGAUGCAAACAUAAGAUGUUCCCACCCUCCCAAAUUGAUAAUUACGUGCCAAGGUUCAUCGGCUCAGAAGAAAAUGAGAAAAUACACGAUAUUUAGUAUGUAAUGAUUCAUUUGGAUGGAUUGUUGAUGUUGGGGCAAUCAGAAGUGUUUGUAUGUUUCUAUCGGCAAGGUGUAGAGGCUAUGACAACCGGUGUCCUCUCAAGAAAUAAAAUGUUAAUUGUUUACAUGUCGACAUCAAUUUAACUUUUAAAAAAUCAUGAAAACAUUAUAUGUGAAUUUUAGUGUCAAAUUUGUA